UAAAGAUUGACAACCAGAUUAUAAUAUCCUCUGGUAAAUGGCUAGUAGUGAUGGUCACUGGCGUGUGUGUGUGUGUGUGUGUGUGUGUGGUAGGGAUGGUGAAUUGGUGUGUGUGGCAACAGCAGGUCCGCUUGCAGCAUUCUCUGUAAGCAUUUCUUGAAGCACGUGCCACCUACAGUACAGCGGAUGACCCACCCAACUAUAACUGUCUCGAUCAGUCACGCUCUCUCUACUCACGCACACACCACAUCCCAAAGUGCCCUGAUGGGGAAGAAAGAAGAAAAACAUUCUUGCUCUCUCGCUCUCUCCACCACCACCCUACUGCCUCUGAUCUGGCGGACUUAGUAAACACAAAUACUGUGUAGUAGUAGACGUGUGUAGUAGUAGUAGUUUUUAGUUGUGUAUGAAUAGGGACAUGAAAUACAUUAUAUGAUAACAUGGAAAACACUGUCACGUUUAAAUUGUUUUAUUUUACCUUUAUUUAACCAGGCAAGUUAGUUAAGAACAAAUUCUUAUUUUCAAUGACGGCCUAGGAACAGUGGGUUAACUGCCUUGUUUAGGGGCAGAACGACAGAUUUGUACCUUGUCAGCUCGGGGAUUCCAAGACGCAUCAUCUUCAUGUGAUACGCACCCGCUCAAAACACCGCCGGAAGACACGUGUCGGCGGCAUCCAAUACUGUUGCAGUAUUUAGCGUUUGUUCGUUUUGAAAAAUGCAGAAGGAACCUCGUCUGUUGGAGUCAUAUGCUGCCAGUCGCAGCGGUUUUUGCCGAUUUUAAUCAUCCUAUUCCUGGCAACAUUAGGACAGAGGGACAAAUUACCCAGAUUGCCCAGGACUAAAUAGACGACAACAACAACGUGAGAUACUGAAGAUAAACCUACUAUCUUUUUUAACUUUAAAGUUCACAACGUUAUUUGAAAUGUCCCAGGGUUCUGGAAGAACAGGACGAGGACUCUCACGGUCGCUGAAGGUAAAACCUAAGGGCGCUGGAGUAAAGCCCUUACUGCUUAGCGGCAGCAUCAAUCUAGGUGUGGUGCAGGCCAUUGAAAUCCCAUACCCUGAAGGUAUGGAUUCUGAGGCUGGGAAACAUCACAAGGGGGAAGUCUUGAGGAAACAUCCUGAGACUCUGACAGUGGAUUACAAAAAAGCACUGAGGAACAGAGUCAAAACCAACUAUGUUUUCUACACAGCGCACCCCACAGCCUGGCGUAGUGCCCUGCACCAAACCUACUCCGACACUGAAGAGAGAGACAUCAACAAUGCCGUACAGGUCAAAGUGUAUGUGGAUGACAGUCACUUAAAGGUUAUUACAGUGAAUCUUUAUCACACCGGUACCGUCGUGGUCCAAGGCUCUCAGACCCAGCUCAACAACUUUCAACAGGACUUUCAGGAACUGAAGGAAAAAGCUGAGCUGAAUAGAAGUAUUGUCACAUACCAAGGAGCAUGUUAGAAUUGCAAAUGUAUUGUGUUACAUUUGUGGAAAAUAUAGUGUGUGUUUAGAUAAGAAACAUCUUAAAAACAUAAAUUUGUACUUAAUUGUAUGCACUCAUACAUGAUAUAAAAUAUGUAUUUAAAAAAGA